UACGGGGGGGGGCGAAGCGUUGUUCGGAAUUACUGGGCGUAAAGGGUUCGUAGGUGGCCAACUCAGUCAGACGUGAAAUCCCUCAGCUCAACUGGGGGAACUGCGUCUGAUACUAGAUGGCUCGAGUGCAGGAGAGGAACGCGGAAUUCCAGGUGUAGCGGUGAAAUGCGUAGAUAUCUGGGAGGAACACCGGUGGCGAAGGCGGCGUUCUGGACUGCAACUGACACUGAGGAACGAAGCCAGGGGAGCAAAGCGGG
rnacentral:rRNA from 1 species